GGGCCCGCACAAGCGGUGGAGCAUGUGGUUUAAUUCGAUGAUACGCGAGGAACCUUACCAGGGCUUAAAUGCAGAAUGACAGAUUGGGAAACCAGUCCUUCUUCGGACAUUUUGCAAGGUGCUGCAUGGUUGUCGUCAGCUCGUGCCGUGAGGUGUCAGGUUAAGUCCUAUAACGAGCGCAACCCCUAUCAUUAGUUGCCAGCGGGUAAUGCCGGGAACUCUAAUGAGACUGCCAGCGCAAGCUGCGAGGAAGGUGGGGAUGACGUCAAAUCAUCACGGCCCUUACGUCCUGGGCUACACACGUGCUACAAUGGUUGGGACAAUGGGCAGCCACUACGCGAGUAGGAGCUAAUCCUCAAACCCAAUCUCAGUUCGGAUCGGAGUCUGCAACUCGACUCCGUGAAGCUGGAAUC
rnacentral:rRNA from 1 species